rnacentral:tRNA from 1 species
GUUGUGGCUCAGUGGCAGAGCGCUUGCCUAGCAUGCAUGAGGCACUGAGUUCCAUCCCUGGCACCACA